GCCCCCGUGGUGUAAUGGAUAACAUAUUUGGCUUCGGACCAAAGGAUUGAGGGUUCGAGUCCUUCCGGGGGCA
rnacentral:tRNA from 1 species